UACGUAGGUGGCAAGCGUUGUCCGGAAUUACUGGGCGUAAAGAGCGCGUAGGCGGGAAUUUAAGUCAGGAGUGAAAACUACCGGCUCAACCGGUAGCCUGCUCUUGAAACUGGAUUUCUUGAGGGUAUGAGAGGAAAGCGGAAUUCCCAGUGUAGCGGUGAAAUGCGUAGAUAUUGGGAGGAACACCAGUGGCGAAGGCGGCUUUCUGGCAUACAACUGACGCUGAGGCGCGAAAGCGAGGGGAGCAAACGGG
rnacentral:rRNA from 1 species